rnacentral:rRNA from 1 species
GGUGCUCGAGUGGCGAACGGGUGAGUAACACGUGAGUAACCUGCCCUUGACUUUGGGAUAACUUCAGGAAACUGGGGCUAAUACCGGAUAGGAGCUCCUGCUGCAUGGUGGGGGUUGGAAAGUUUCGGCGGUUGGGGAUGGACUCGCGGCUUAUCGGCUUGUUGGUGGGGUAGUGGCUUACCAAGGCUUUGACGGGUAGCCGGCCUGAGAGGGUGACCGGCCACAUUGGGACUGAGAUACGGCCCAG